CCCGCCGCCCGCCGCCACCACCGGCCGCCCUCCCGCUCGGCUCCUCCGGCCGCCGCCGCCGCCGCCGCUGCGUUGCGUUGCGCUGCCUGCGCCCAGGGCUCGGGAGGGGGCCGCGGAGGAGCCGCCCCCCGCGCCCGGCCCCCGCCCGUCGCGCCCGGGCCCGCGCCAUGGGGCUCUGGCUGCCGCCGCCUCCCGCGCCGCCCGGCUAGGGCGAUGCGGGCGCCCCCGGCGCGCGGCCCCCGCGGGCACCAUGAGCCCCCUGCUCCGCCGCCUGCUGCUCGCCGUGCUCCUGCAGCUGGCCCCCGCCCAGGCUCCCAUCUCUCAGCCUGAUGCCCCUGGUCACCAGAAGAAAGUGGUGUCAUGGAUAGACGUGUAUGCUCGUGCCACCUGCCAGCCGCGGGAGGUGGUGGUGCCCCUGAACAUGGAGCUCAUGGGCACUGUGGCCAAGCAACUGGUGCCCAGCUGCGUGACAGUGCAGCGCUGUGGCGGCUGCUGCCCUGACGAUGGCCUGGAGUGCGUGCCCACUGGGCAGCACCAAGUCCGAAUGCAGAUCCUCAUGAUCCAGUACCCAAGCAGUCAGCUGGGGGAGAUGUCCCUGGAAGAACACAGCCAGUGCGAAUGCAGACCAAAAAAACGAGAGAGUGCUGUGAAGCCAGACAGGGCUUCCACUCCCCACCACCGUCCCCAGCCCCGCUCUGUUCCGGGCUGGGACCCUGCCCCUGGAGCACCCUCCCCAGCUGACAUCACCCAUCCCACUCCAGCCCCAGGCCCCUCUGCCCACGCUGCCCCCAGCGCCGCCAGCGCCCUGACCCCCGGACCUGCCACUGCCGCUGCCGACGCCGCAGCUUCCUCCGUUGUCAAGGGCGGGGCUUAGAGCUCAACCCAGACACCUGCAGGUGAGGAGUCGGGAGUGGUGUCCAGGCCCUUCCUGGAGCAGGUCCAGGUGCCAGAAGCUGCGAAGGUGACAAACUGCUUUUCAGACUCAGUGGGGCCCCUAGCCUCACAGCCCUCCCCCCAGAGAGGGCAGGAGCGCAGCCUGGUGAGAACCGUCCAGUCCCCAAGACCUCAGCCUGGGCAGAAGCUCCUCUGGGACCUGGGCCUCUCGGAGGGCCUUCCAGCCGCCCCUUGUCUCCCCAAGGCUGCCAUCCAACAACGUGGACAGAGUUGGAUGAGGAGACCCAGGGGGUCACAUACCAACCUGGAAGAGAAUGGGGUCCCGACUCAGAUUUUAACCACCUUGUACAAGUGAGCAUCUAACAGCUGGCUCCUCUGUCCCCUCACUAAGAAGACCCCGAUCCUCUACAAAAAUGUGGGAGUUGGGCUUCAGCGCAGGAACUGUGAACCCCAGUCCUGAUAAAAGAGAUGGAAGGAACUGUC